rnacentral:lncRNA from 1 species
GGCUGCGUGCCUCCUGGUCCUGCAUGCUUGGACCUCGUCGAGCAGCUCAGCCACCACCUGGCGGCCCCGGUGAUCAGGAACGCCGGCAACAACCCGGGUCCUUGCAGCGAAGGAUCGAGCAACUGCAGGGACGACAACAAGACCAUCAACGACAGGUCUUGUGUAGACGAAGCCGCAGCAGCAAACGGAGACGACGGAUCAGUGCAGCACCCAGCAAGCAUGAACAACGGCGGCGCAACCGUGUGGCCGCCGCCGUACAGCUGCGCGCCAUCUCCGGCGGCGUAUUUCUCCUCGGGCAUCGCGAUCCCGAUAUACC